UCCGUAUCUCGUCCAACCAACAACCUCCCCUCGAUGUCGCGCUUUCAUUCCCUUGUAAUCCGAUACGUCUGUUAACCAUUUACAUAACCAUCCAUGAUCCACCCACCUCUACUCUCACAUAUAUUUCUCAAUUUUAAGAUUUGAAGAACGCUCACUCCCCUCCAUAAACCCUACCCGCCACCACGAUGGCCACUCAACGCUGCAACCACCAUGUACAACCGCCAGCAAAAGCCAUCACAACCUACCGCCAACAAAGCUAACAAUCUCAGAAGGUUGGUUACUUGGAGAUGAAAAGCCCAUCCUUCCUUCGUCGCAUAAUCAGGGAACCAUCAAAGCUACACCGCGGUUUUCUCUUAUAUCCUCAUGAAAACGCAUCUCAAUACGGAUGAGAAAGUCAUCACUUCCCUCAUCUGCCGAAUCUUUUUUUCUCCAUCACAGAAAAACCCAAGGAAACCUUUAUUGUUAUCUCCGAGUUACAAAUCCCUAACCUUCUGGGUUUUUUUCUGUGAAUUUUACAGGUUGUAGUGUAUACGUGGAGUUAUUCUCGAGAUUUAGAAACAUUUUGUAGGUAUCUCAGGUUUAUCUUGCUGGUGAAUAUGCUCUAAGGAUCAUCUUUUUGAGUAUCGUUUGUAGAACCGUUCCCUCUGAUUUAGUUUUUAUUUCGAUUUAGUUUUUUCCCUAAUUCUUGAUUUUGAUUAACCCAGUUUUUGAAUCUAUUGAAGGCUUAAUGUUUGUUUCAGAUUUUGUUAUGUGGUUACUAAAAUUCAAUGAUCAUAUGUGUGCUGAUUCCCUUCUUGAAUUGAGAUCAUCUCUACUAUAUUCUUGUAUUUUCUUUACUAAUCUACUUAUUGUUCAAUCGAUUUUGGUAGUUUAUCUUGUGAUUAUGGUUGUUGAGGUAUGGGUUGGUGUGUGUAGUUGUGUGCAUCUUUAUGUAUUUGUGUGUAUCUGCAUGUAUUUGUAUAUUUAGGUGUGUGUAUUUUUGUGCAUACAUGUAUGUGUGUAGGCGUGUUUAUAUGUGUGAAAGAUUGUGUAUUUUGAAAUGAUGUUAUCAAAAGUCUGCUUUAAAGAGGCCAAUGUUUGUUGAAGCAUAUUGUAAUAUAGGGGUCAUCUAUAAAAAUCAUGGAGAUGGAGUCGGCUAUUGAUUGUUACAAGAGGUGUCGCCAAAUUUUGAGGUUUCAAAGAUUAACAUGGCAAUUUCUUUAAAACGAUUAUAAGAAUUUGUGCAUACCUGAUACAUUUUGAUGCCCAUACCCUUGGCAAGGCGAGAUCUGUUGUUAACUUUAUUAAGUUUUCAAUUGGAUAUUUCUUAUUUUUUUCUAUACUACUGCCGAAUGCAUAACAUAACUUGAUGUUACUGGGGAGAAUGAGAUCUUAAAGAAUGUCCCCAACAUGCAAAAAUGUUCAUGUAUUCAGUUUUCAAAAAGAUCGAUUUUUGUUAUCUCAUUAUUUUGUUAAUAGAAUCUGAUUUUUUAUUCUUGAUUUGGUUUACAAAACAUUUCCCUUCUUCGUUAUGUUGAUUUUAUCUUGCUUCUCAAAAUAUUAUGGUGGCUCAAAUGAUAGAUAUAGAACAUUUUUGGAUCUUUUUUUCUACCUGGAAAGGUCUGAUUCCACAAUGUCUGAUCUGUAACUUUUUGUUGUCACUUGAUAUUUUCCAACUUAUACUUUCAAAUGCUUAUCGUUUGCCUACAAUUCUCCAUGUAUGAUUCACCACACUCUUGUCUAUUUCCUAUUUUAUGAGACAAAAUACUUAACUCAAGCUCAUCCAUUUUUCUCUUUUUUGGCAUUAGAUAUCUUUUUGUGAUAAUGAAAUUAUUUUUUGUUUGAUCUGGUGUUAGGUUUGUCAUAGGAAGGAUUGUCGCUUUUUAUGGUUAUGAGAAUCAACACUUAGAGAAGAAUACAUCUACUCCUAUACCACCAUUACCACUAAAAAUGAACCAUCUUAUCGUUUAUUUUCUUCUAUGUAUUUGAUGUUUUUUUGUUGAUUGUCUAUUAAUGUGCGAUAUUGUUACAUGUUUUGGCUUUAUAGGUUUGACUCUAAAUUCAAGGCUUCAACUAUCGCUGUUUUGAAGGAAUGCAUUCUUAGGCUCAAAAUUUGCAUAUAAUUUAUGGAUAAUGGUGCAUGUGCUUAUAUUUAUCUCUUAUUAAAUACUUUAAAGAGAGUAGUAUAUUUUCUUACAAGUCUUUUAACCUGAGAAAACAUCAAUUGAUUUCCAGGAUUUUAGGUGCUUUUGUUGCUCUAAACAUCAAUUUAUCCCCUGCUUUAGCGUUGGUUGUCUUCUGGUUUCU